CCUACGGGCGGCAGCAGUGAGGAAUCUUGGUCAAUGGCCGGAAGGCUGAACCAGCCAAGCCGCGUGAAGGACGAAGGUGCCAAGCAUUGUAAACUUCUUUUGUCAAGGGACAAAAUCAGGCUCGAGAGCCUGACCGAGGGUCCUUGAAGAAAAAGCAUCGGCUAACUCCGUGCCAGCAGCCGCGGUAAUACGGAGGAUGCGAGCGUUAUCCGGAUUUAUUGGGUUUAAAGGGUGCGUAGGCGGGCUGUCAAGUCAAGGGUGAAAUCCCCGCGCUCAACCUCGCUCCGCCGGUGAACCUGGCGUUCUUGAGUGGGCGAGAAGUAUGCGGAAUGCGUGGUGUAGCGGUGAAAUGCAUAGAUAUCACGAAGAACUCCGAUUGCGAAGGCAGCAUACCGGCGCCCAACUGACGCUGAAGCACGAAAGCGUGGGUAUCGAACAGGAUUAGAUACCCUGGUAGUC
rnacentral:rRNA from 1 species